rnacentral:lncRNA from 1 species
GAAUUCAUACCAAAACCAUAAGUCUUAGAUCAGUUAAUCUUAAAGGUAUAAAUGCAUAUUUAUCUUUCAAUAAAAAAAAUUUUGGUCAUUUUCUCUUUAGAGAUCUAUUUUUGUGAAAAUAAACUAAAAAAUACUCCCUCUGUUCCUAAAAGUAGGAUGUUUAGCCAGAAACACGCAUAUUAAGAAAACUAUUUUUUGUCUAGAAAAUAUCAUUAAAACUAUAAAUUUAUAGUAUUCAACCAAUUACAAAAUACACUACUAAAAUAUGAUUGGGUACACAGUUUUUAAUAAAGUAAAAGUUACCUAAAAAAUGAAAACAUCUUAUAUAUUAGAACAUCAAAAUUAUGUAAAAUAUCCUAUUUUUAGGAACAGAGGGAGUACUAUUUAAGGGAAUUUUUUUUUUCAUCGUAAGUACAACAAAAGACCUAAGAUAUCCCUAAUUUUGAAACAAGAGGUCUCUUCCCUUCCAAGGCAAAAGAAAGGCAAAAGAAACACUAACUUUCUACAUUGGCUUAAGAUGAGCAAUUCAUGUCGCAUGAACGAGUCUUGAUCUUUCCCUGUAAUUGUUGAUUUAUCUCAAGAUAUAAAGAAAGUCUUAUAUGUUUAAUGUUCUUUAAAAUAUAUUAA